GGGGAAUAUUGGACAAUGGGCGCAAGCCUGAUCCAGCCAUGCCGCGUGUGUGAAGAAGGCCUUCGGGUUGUAAAGCACUUUUGUCCGGAAAGAAAAGCUUCGGGUUAAUACCCCGGGGUCCUGACGGUACCGGAAGAAUAAGCACCGGCUAACUUCGUGCCAGCAGCCGCGGUAAUACGAAGGGUGCAAGCGUUACUCGGAAUUACUGGGCGUAAAGCGUGCGUAGGUGGUUUGUUAAGUCUGAUGUGAAAGCCCUGGGCUCAACCUGGGAAUUGCAUUGGAUACUGGCAAGCUAGAGUGCGGUAGAGGAUGGCGGAAUUCCCGGUGUAGCAGUGAAAUGCGUAGAGAUCGGGAGGAACAUCUGUGGCGAAGGCGGCCAUCUGGACCAGCACUGACACUGAGGCACGAAAGCGUGGGGAGCAAAC
rnacentral:rRNA from 1 species